AGCGCUCAGGCAGUUUCGCUACGACUUUCAGCCAACCCACAACCUCCGUUACUAACACUAAUAUCAUUUUAUUAUAACGCGCUCGUUUGCUGAGAAACGUGACAUCGAACUGACACACCGAUGACGUAAUGUGACAGCUGUCACCGUGACGGUCCGGCUGUCGGGCGGAGGGAGACAGUGAGUGAUCGAGCAGGACGGAACGAUUGCGUGUUUACAACAUAAGUCACUGGACAGGAAGAAGGCAGACGAAAAUAUGCAGAGCGCGAGUCGUUGAGGCGGCGCCAGAGGACUUCAUUAUGCCAAACAAUGCACGCGGAGACGUGCGUACUGCGCUCACGUGCUCGUGGCCGUGUGUGUGUGUCGCGAUAGUCGAGCGUCACAGAGUAGCGGUAUCGGUAGGUAGUUCGGCGGUGAACUGGCUGCGAGCUUGUCGUGGAAGAAGCGAGGCGGCCCCGCAUCCGUCACCGGCGUGGACGGAAUAGUAAUCACCGACUUACCACAAAUGACUGCUCCUACCACUCCGACCACGACGCUUGAGACAAACGGCAAUGUCCCACUGCUAAUUUGGAAUCUGUUUCUUAAUCUAAUGUACUAUUA